CUUUACUGUAGCUUUACAUUGGACUUUGACGGGACUUGUGUAGGAUAGGUGGGAGGCUGUGAGACUCGGUCGCUAGAUCGAGAGGAGCCGACGUUGAAAUACCACCCUGGUGUCGUUGAGGUUCUAACCUUGGACCGUGAAUCCGGUUCGGGGACCGUGUAUGGUAGGCAGUUUGACUGGGGCGGUCUCCUCCCAAAGUGUAACGGAGGAGUUCGAAGGUCUCCUAGGUACGGUCGGACAUCGUACUGAUAGUGCAAUGGCAAAAGGAGGCUUAACUGCGAGACCGACAAGUCGAGCAGGUGCGAAAGCAGGACAUAGUGAUCCGGUGGUUCUGAAUGGAAGGGCCAUCGCUCAACGGAUAAAAGGUA
rnacentral:rRNA from 1 species